UCCCUUCCUGUUCUCCCUUUAGUUUAACUCUGGGAGCUCGUGAUGUCGCAGCUUCUUCUUCUCUUCAUCUAAAGCAGGUUGUUGUGUUGGUGUGAAGGUGUGGACUCUGCUAUGAAUCAGUGUGAGGACAGAGAGGAGGGAGUCCCUCCCUCUAAAAGCACUCUGUGUGGGGAACAUGACAGCCAGACCAAAGGUCAGAGGAUCCAUCAGAGACCAGACUGUCCUGGACCUGGACCUGAACCUGGACCUGGACCUGGACCUGAACCCAG